GACGAACCGUGCGAACGUUGUUCGGAAUCACUGGGCUUAAAGGGCGCGUAGGCGGCUCGCGAGGUCGGAGGUGAAAUCCCGCAGCUUAACUGCGGAAGGGCCUCCGAUACCGGCGGGCUGGAGGAAGGUAGGGGUGCGCGGAACUUCUGGUGGAGCGGUGAAAUGCGUUGAUAUCAGAAGGAACGCCGGCGGCGAAAGCGGCGCACUGGACCUUUUCUGACGCUGAGGCGCGAAAGCUAGGGGAGCAAACGGG
rnacentral:rRNA from 1 species